rnacentral:rRNA from 1 species
GUCUCCGGCCACACCACCCUGAACACGCCCGAUGUCUGAUCUCGGAAGCUAAGCAGGGUCGGGACUGGUUAAUACUGGGAUGGGAGACCACCUAGGAAGACCAGGUGCUGUAAGUA